GGAUGAACGCUAGCGAUAGGCUUAACACAUGCAAGUCGAGGGGCAGCAUGGUCUUAGCUUGCUAAGGCUGAUGGCGACCGGCGCACGGGUGCGUAACGCGUAUGCAACUUGCCUCACAGAGGGGGAUAACCCGUCGAAAGACGGACUAAUACCGCGUACACUCUAUGUUGGGCAUCCAAUGUAGAGGAAAUGAAAUUCGCUGUGAGAUAGGCAUGCGUCCCAUUAGCUAGUUGGUGAGGUAACGGCUCACCAAGGCGACGAUGGGUAGGGGAACUGAGAGGUUGAACCCCCACACUGGUACUGAGACACGGACCAGACUCCUACGGGAGGCAGCAGUGAGGAAUAUUGGUCAAUGGGCGAGAGCCUGAACCAGCCAAGUCGCGUGAAGGAUGACUGUCUUAUGGAUUGUAAACUUCUUUUAUACGGGAAUAACAAGAGUCACGUGUGGCUCCCUGCAUGUACCGUAUGAAUAAGCAUCGGCUAACUCCGUG
rnacentral:rRNA from 1 species